GACGAACCGUGCGAACGUUAUUCGGAAUCAUUGGGCUUAAAGGGCGCGUAGGCGGCGGUGUAAGUUGGAAGUGAAAUCCCAUCGGCUCAACCGUGGAAUUGCUCCCAGUACUGCACUGCUCGAGGGGGAUAGGGGUCUGCGGAACUACCGGUGGAGCGGUGAAAUGUGUUGAUAUCGGUGGGAACGCCAGUGGCGAAAGCGGCAGACUUGACCCUUCCUGACGCUGCAGCGCGAAAGCUAGGGGAGCAAACGGG
rnacentral:rRNA from 1 species